UACGCAGGGUGCAAGCGUUAAUCGGAAUUACUGGGCGUAAAGCGUGCGCAGGCGGCUUUGCAAGACAGAUGUGAAAUCCCCGGGCUUAACCUGGGAACUGCAUUUGUGACUGCAUGGCUGGAGUGCGGCAGAGGGGGAUGGAAUUCCGCGUGUAGCAGUGAAAUGCGUAGAUAUGCGGAGGAACACCGAUGGCGAAGGCAAUCCCCUGGGCCUGCACUGACGCUCAUGCACGAAAGCGUGGGGAGCAAACAGG
rnacentral:rRNA from 1 species